rnacentral:rRNA from 1 species
GACGAACGCUGGCGGCGUGCUUAACACAUGCAAGUCGAACGGGCCUGUCUUCUUUUUUGGGGUGGGUUGAGUGGCGAACGGGUGAGUAUCACGUGAGUAACCUGCCCUUCGGUCCUGGAUAACCGCUUGAAAGGGCGGCUAAUACGGGGUGGUCCGGUUGGUCCGCAUGGGCUGGUCGGGAUAGAUUCACUGUUUUUGGUGUUUCGGCGGGGGAUGGGCUCGCGGCCUAUCAGCUUGUUGGUGGGGUGAUGGCCUACCAAGGCGGUGACGGGUAGCCGGCCUGAGAGGGUGGGCGGCCACACUGGGACUGCGAUACGGCCCAGACUCCUGCGGGAGGCAGCAGUGGGGGGUAUUGCACAAUGGGCGGAAGCCUGAUGCAGCGACGUCGCGUGAGGGAUGGAGGCCUUCGGGUUGUGAACCUCUGUUUCCGGUGGUGAAGGCCCUGUCCGUGUGGUGGGGUUGACGGUAGCCGGGGAUGAAGCGCCGGCUAACUACGUG